UCAUGCGCUCCUAUGUCCCAAGAGAAGAAAUUCCCCCUGGAGAGAGACCCUAGGGGCAGUGGCUGGGUACCGAGUACUGACUAACUUCUCCAGUAGCAGGUGGCAACCAAAACAGUGGACAGAGGCGUGGCGACAAGCGAUGGGAAACGAGCCCACAAAGGACAGUGGAAGAGACGGGGCUCACCGCUCGUCUGUCCGCUCCCGCUUCCCCCCUUGCAUGGAUUUCAAAUACUGUGGGGACACAUCGACCAACCUCUCCUCUGAUUGAUCUACAGAGACCAAUGUGUUGUUUGGAUGGCGUCAUCCCAAGAGUUCGUACAUGGCUGGGGCUUGGGAGUUUGGGUUUGUCACCAACUACUUUGUCUGCUCAUAGCUUGUUUAAUAUCCAAAACACUGUUUCUGAGUGGGCAAACAGAGGAAACGAUCCAAUCCAUGGUUUUGAUUAAUUGAUGGAGCGGUCAAAGCAU
rnacentral:lncRNA from 1 species